GAACUUAUAUUACCUAUAAAUAAUGAAAAUUUUAUUUGUAUCUUUCUAAUUUUCAAACCUUUUAUAUCAUUUUCUUGUCUUAUUGCACUUUAGAAUCGCUAGGGAAAUGUUGAGUAGAGAUAAAGGCAUAGGCAUCUUUUCUUGUUCCUGAUUUUAGAGGAAACUAUUUUAAUAUUAAACUUUAAACUAUGGUUUUUGCUGUAGGCUUUUGUUAGCUGUCCUUUAUCAUAUUAUGCAAAUUCACUUCUAUUUUUUUUUUAAUCAGAUAUUGAACUUUAUUAAAUGCUCAUGGUAGAUGCCUCUAAUCAGCUUAAGAAAGGUCCUUUCUCUACUGUCUUGCUGAGAAUUAUUAUCAUGAAUGGAUGUUGAGUUUUAUCAAAUGCAUUCUCUGCAUCUAAUAAUAUGAUCCUAUACGUUUUCUCCCUUAAUCAAUUAAUGUGGUGAAUUAUACUAAAAGAUUGCUUAAUGUUAAACCAGCCUUGUGUUCCUUUGGUAGACCCAUCUUGGUCAUUAUGGGUUAUUUUUUUAUUCAUUGCUGGAUUAAAUUUGCUAAUAUCCUAUUAAGAUUUUUGAAUUUGUGUUCAUGAGUGAGCUUAGUGUGUAAUUUACCAUGGUCUCUUUGGUUUUGAUGUCUUGAUUAGGGCAACCUCUUAAAUGAGUUGGGUAGUGUUUCCUAUUUUUCUUUCCUCAGGAAGAAGUUGUGUAAGAUUGGAAUCAUUUGUUCCUUGAACGUUUAUUAAAAUUCUCUUGGAAAAACCAUUUGAACCUAGUGUCUUCUAAAUGGAAAAAUAUUUCACUACUAAUUCAAUUUCUUUAUUGGUUAAAGGACUACUCAAACUGUCUAUUUCUUCUUGGCCAGUUUUUGCCAGACGCAGGUGGGAAUGCUGCAGAAGAUGCUGUGCUGUUUUCCAUGGAUGACCUCAGGAAGCAACUCUGUGUUAACUCAUCCCACCCCUGGUGAUGCCAGCCUCAAUCAUCUGGCAAGUCCUGUUGGUUGGGAAUCUUGGUCCUAGCAGUGUGUUUAUUUGGACAGAAUCCUCUCACAACAAAACAAGCUGAGGUCCCAUGGAGCUCAUCAUCCAUACAGAGAAUCUAUACUGGAUUUGUUGAGACUGGUGAUAUUUGGCAGAGACUGAAUACCUGGCUUGUAGAAGAAAAUGUACCUCACACUCGGUCUUGCUCUCGUAUGUGGAAGGCACACAUGACCGGUGACCAUGUCUUUUGCAUGCCCGGAGAUAAGGCGGCCACAGGACCAAUAGGGACUCCUGGUGGCCAGUGCACCCUUGUACAAAGGAUUGGCUCUAAUUUGGUCAUUUCAGGCAAAGAUGUAACCAUAAACACCACCCUGAAUCCAGAAAUUAAGGUUUCCUAAGCAGUUCUUGGAAGGCAGUUCCUGGCAGCACUAAAACCCCAAAGAAGCAAAGAGAAGCCAAAACAAAAUCCAGAUGCUCUUCAUGGAACAUUUGCUUUGUUAUGGAGGGCAGUGCUGCCAAAGAGAAAUGACUUCUUGGGUUUUCCAUAUAUUGUCCCUAAUGGUGUCGUCAGAAAAGUAAACUUGGUGCCACAUAGGUUAAUGUGCUACCAAGUAAGACUGUCCAGGAAUCCUGAGAACGUCUGUGCCCCACGAGAUGGGAAGGACGGACAAGCCCGCUUCCUGUGUUACCCUGGGUCACUCUGCCAUAGGCAGCCUGGGAGUGGGCAGGCAGUGGGCCUGAUACCACGGUCCAAAUGGGGUCAGGGUCCCCAUUAGUGUGGCAUCCUCUGGACUGGGUUUAGGCAUUUCUGAAUCAGCAGCCUGAAGAGGUUCUCUGAUUAGACAUGUUAGAAAUCAACAGAACUUGGAGGGAGGGGUAGGGAUGAGAGGACAGGUAAGAGGGAAUAGAGAGGAAACUAAUGCUGAUGGAAUAGCUGCAUCAGUCAGCUUAUGUAACAAUGAUGAUAGUAAUAGUAAUGGUAUCUUACAUUACUCAGCAUUUACUAUGUUCCAGGCUCCGUUCUAGCUACUUUACAUAUAUUAUCUCAUUUACUUCUUUCCACAACCUUAUUAUGAAGUGGGUAUUUUUAUUAUUAUCCCUGCUUAUAAGAACCAAGACAUUGCGUACCUUGACCAAGCAGACACAGCUUGAGAGGGGUGGGAGCAGGAUAUAUAUGUUCACCACUUCAUUUAGUACUCACAACAACCCAAUGAUACAGAUUUUCAUCAUCUCCAAUUUACAGGCAAGGAAACUAAGGCCCUUGGACCAGCAACAUCAGCAUCACUCAGGAGCUUAUUAGAAAUGCAGAAUCUUUGGCCCCACUUUAAACCUACUGAGGCAGAAUCUGGACAGAGCCACCAGUCUAGACCAGAGGGCCCAGCGAGUCUCAAACUUGCACGUGCAUGUGAGUUGCCCAGAGACCGUGUUAAAACCUGGAUUCCUGGGCCCCACUCACCCUUGGAGAUGAUGAGUCCCUGGUAUUUAGCAGCAGUAGUUUGGCCCUCUGUAGAGUUGCUUCCAUAAGUUGUUUUUGGCAUCACAUCAUCUACCAACAUUAGCUGAUAAUGAAAAGCAAAAUUUUCAUACCAGUUUAGGAACAGGAGUCAAAGUUUCAUUUUAAUUCAGGGGUUGACAAACUUUUUCUGUAAAGGCCCAAAUUGUAGAUAUUUUACUCUGUGUGGGCCACUGGGUCUCUGUCAUGUCACAAAAGCAGCCAUGGUCAGUAUGUAAACAAAUCAGUGUGUUUGUUUUCCAGUACAACUCAAUCAACUCCCCCUCCUUUAACUCAGAACCGAGGGAACCUCUGGUGAUGGCAGCGUGCCCUAGUGCAGAGCGGAUUUGAAGAAUGAGGAUCUUAACAUUUGCAAAGGAGAGGACUAAGUAAAAUAGCUCAUACUGUAGGGGAGGAAAAACAGUUUCCCUUCUACUCUUCUAGGUUCUUGGCUGAGACGCCCUUGUAGCAAAAUACAGAUUAACAAAAGAAAAACCAUUUUAAUUACUAUGUAAGGGAGAGCCGCAAAGAUAGGAGACUCAAAAGGCAACCAGGCAACUGAGGCUUAUAUACCACCCCGAGCUGAGAAAAGGGACGAGGGUCUGGGCCUUCAAAUGGAGGAGGGCCAUUCAUGGGAAGAGGAGAAGAGCAGAUGUUUGGGAAACAGAUGUUUGCCGGAGGUGCAGAUAAGUCUCUCAGAAGAACAAGUGAUAUUGGGUAGUAGCUCUCUUCCUGGUAUAGGGCCGCUUUCUAAUUUCUUUUAGGCAGUUAAUAGGGAGGUAAAAAGCUUUUCCUGAGUCUGCUGGGUCUUGACUGCUUUCAGUUCAAAAUAAUCCACAUGUGAAAGUGGUACUUUCUGGGGCAGCCUGUUCUGAACCCCCUCCAUACCAUAUGCCUAGUUAACUUUCUUCAGGCUGAUUAAACCAUAACCCUUUGGGGUAACUUUUAAAUCCUAAUACUUUAUCAGUUUCUGCAAACCUCUCAUCUCACAGGCUAUAAAUUGUCACUUUUUUUAUCAUUUGUGUUAUUAAUUAAAAAAAAAAAAGGUGUGCCAACAAAUUUGCCUUCCCCGAGAAUAUCAACCGAGAGUUCCAUUUGACAAGGUCCUACUUUUACUCAAGCAGCCAUAUUAUUUUCUAAUAAUAGAAAAGUCAUUAAAAAAAUCAAGUAAUCACCUUCUAUCAUUUUCCAAGUGUGGGAUAACUUUUCUCAUUGGCCUGAUGAGAAAAAGCCCUAUGGUACUCAGUGCUGAUUACUGUAAGGAUUACUGUUGGUUAUUAUUAUGCUCUAAAGAUUAUUAUGGUUUUCUAGCUUAUAGGAUGUCAUCUUGGAGUCCCCACAGGAUAAACUCUCCUGUCUCCUGUGAAUCAUGUGACCUUCCUAACCAGACACCAAGGCAUGAGUUUCGUGUCCUCACUUUCUCUCUGGUAUUAUAAUCUUAUGUUACCUACACUAGUUUUUACUUAGUUUCUACUUUCUCCAUUUCCUUAAUGUUUGUCUUAUUUGGGGGCAUUUUUGUAAAUUGUCUUCUGUCAUUUUUGGAAUACAAAUUCAUUUAAAUCAAAAAGAAUGUUCAGGACUUCCCUGGUGGCGCAGUGGUUAAGAAUCCACCUGCCGAUGCAGGGACACAGGUUCGAUUCCUGGUCUGGGAAGAUCCCACGUGCCACGGAGCAACUAAUCCCGUUUGCCACAACUACUGAGCCCACGUGCUACAACUACUGAGCCUGUGCUCUAGGCCCUGUGAGCCACAACUACUGAGCCCGUGAGCCACAGCUACUGAGCCCAUGUGCCACAACUAAUGAAGCCCAUGCACCUAGAGCCUGUGCUCCGCAACAAGAGAAGCCACCGCAUUGAGAAGCCUGCGCACCACAAUGACGAGCAGCCCCCGAUCGCCGCAACUAGAGAAAGCCCGUGCGCAGCAAUGAAGACCCAAUGGAGCCAAAAAUAAAUAAAUAAAUAAAUUCACUAAAAAAAAAAGAGAAUGUUCACAUUUGAGGAUUCUUUAGUUCAAUGUGCCUUGAGGAUGAAGGGGAAGUGAAGCUGGUAUCUGCAUACUUAGAAAACAGCACGUGAUAUCUUAACACACCAACUUAAACAUAAUGUACUCACAUUUAGGUGGUCACUUGUAUGACCAAAGGUGAAUGUUCUUGGCUGACAUGUGCAUCCCACCUAUCUCACCUCAUCCCGCCUAAGAACUCUAGACAGUUACUCUACAGUGCUACUUUUUUUUGUUUGUUUUUGAAACAAAAUCCACAUUUUAUUAGAUUGAAAUAAACCAUAAAAUUGUUC